UCUACGGGUGGCAGCAGUGAGGAAUAUUGGUCAAUGGCCGGAAGGCUGAACCAGCCAAGCCGCGUGAAGGACGAAGGUGCCAAGCAUUGGAAACUUCUUUUGUCAAGGGACAAAAUGAGGCUCGAGAGCCGGACCGCGGGUACUUUAAGAAAAAGCAUCGGCUAACUCCGUGCCAGCAGCAGCGGUAAUACGGAGGAAGCGAGCGGGAGCCGGAUUGAGUGGGUUUAAAGGUUGCGUAGGGGGACGGUUAAGGCCGCGGUAAAAGCCCGGGGCUCAACCCCGGCGAGCCGUUGAGACUGGCUGUCUUGCGAUGUCGAGAGGUAUGCGGAAUGCGCAGUGUAGCGGUGAAAUGCUUAGAUAUUGCGCAGAACUCCGAUUGCGAAGGCAGCAUACCGGCGGCGAUCUGACGCUGAGGCACGAAAGCGUGGGUAUCGAACAGGAUUAGAUACCCGAGUAGUC
rnacentral:rRNA from 1 species